GAAAUGCGAUAAGUAGUGUGAAUUGCAGAAUUCAGUGAAUCAUCGAAUCUUUGAACGCACAUUGCGCCCUUUGGUAUUCCAAAGGGCAUGCCUGUUCGAGCGUCAUUUGUACCCUCAAGCUUUGCUUGGUGUUGGGCGUCUUGUCUCUAGCUUUGCUGGAGACUCGCCUUAAAGAAAUUGGCAGCCGGCCUACUGGUUUCGGAGCGCAGCACAAGUCGCACUCUCUAUCAGCAAAGGUCUAGCAUCCAUUAAGCCUUUUUUCAACUUUUGACCUCGGAUCAGGUAGGGAUACCCGCUGAACUUAAGC
rnacentral:misc_RNA from 1 species